UUCUGAAGAACUUGCCAAGAUGAGUUCUUUUGAUGUUAACAUAAAGACGGAUUGGUCUGCACUGCCACACAAUCUAUUGUUGCAGUGGCAGUCAUGCAACCAGAAAGCUCUUGAAGUGAACUUGGCUGAGGUCAAUAGCAACUGGUAACAAAUGGUUCAAAUGGCUGUAAGCACUAAGGGACUCAACAUUGGAGGUCAUCAGUCCCCUAGACUUAGAACUACGUAAACCUAACUAACCUAAGGACGUCACACACAUCCAUGCAUCAGGCAGGAUUCAAACCUGCGACCGUAGCAGCCGUGUGGUUCCGGACUGAAGUACCUAGAACUGCUCGGCCACAGCA